GACGAACGCUGGCGGCGUGCCUAACACAUGCAAGUCGAACGAGACGAUUGAAAGCUUGCUUUCGAAAGUCGGGUGGCAAACGGGUGAGUAACGCGUAGACAACCUGCCUUUGAGAUGGGGACAACAGUUCGAAAGGACUGCUAAUACCGAAUGUUGUAUAUUUUCCACAUGGAAGAUAUAUUAAAGAUGGCCUCUAUUUAUAAGCUAUCGCUCAAAGAUGGGUCUGCGUCUGAUUAGCUAGUUGGUGGGGUAACGGCCUACCAAGGCGACGAUCAGUAGCCGGUCUGGGAGGAGGAACGGCCACAUUGGGACUGAGACACGGCCCAGACUCCUACGGGAGGCAGCAGUGGGGGAUCUUCCACAAUGGACGGAAGUCUGAUGGAGCAACGCCGCGUGAGUGAAGAAGGGUUUCGGCUCGUAAAGCUCUGUUGUCGGGGACGAAUGUGCAUUACUUGAAUAAAGUAGUGUAAUGACGGUACCUGACGAGGAAGCCACGGCUAACUACGUGCCAGCAGCCGCCGUAA
rnacentral:rRNA from 1 species